GGCGGCUGCACCUGCCAGCUAUGACAUGAGCAACCGCGAUACCGGGACCGUCAAGUGGUUCAACACCUCUAAAGGCUUCGGCUUUAUUUCCCGGGAUUCCGGUGAUGAUAUUUUCGUGCACUUUCGUGCAAUCCGUGGCGAAGGCCACCGCGUUCUGGUCGAAGGCCAGCGCGUGGAGUUCUCGGUAAUGAACCGUGAUAAAGGCCUGCAAGCCGAGGACGUGAUCGCCGCCCUGCCGCGUCGCUGAUCCCUGGCAAUAAAAAACCGCGAACAGCCAGGCUGUUCGCGGUUUUUUU
rnacentral:sRNA from 1 species